UCUCUAUUGUCCAGUGCACAGAUCCCGUAAGGAAUUGAGUGUCCGAGUCAUCAGUUUUGCCUAGCAAAUAAAACUGUUAAAGAAAGUUCUUGACCGAGCUGCUGCCACUGCUCAGCAAACGCAGCUGCUAGGAAAUCAGUGACCUUUCUGUUGCACAGAACCUCAGCUGAGUGAUUAGCCGUACUACCACGGUGAUAGUUCCACCUCAAUCCAUUUUCACCUCAGCCUCUUGUGGGUGAGUGACUACCAAAGACUAGUAGCGAAUUGUUGGUUGUUCUGAUUAUCUGGCAGCAAGGAUAAACCUUUCUGAAUGGAUGGCGUUAGUGAUGAAAGGUCAAUUUUAUGAGAAAAAUUCGGUAACAUAUCUUUAAUCACGAUUAAGAAAACUCGAACGCGAUAACUGCUGCUGCUUCCUUUAAUGCUAUGUAUAGCAGUAAUUCUGGGACGAAAUGCAACCACGUCAGGCGUCCAGCAUCUACGCAAUGGACUACUUUCAAUGUGGAUGUAGUGAUGACGCUGUCAUAGAAGAACAUGCCAAUAAAAAAAGCUUCAUACAAAAGAAACGAAACAGAUCCCGGAUACACAUCUGGACAUUUCGAUAGCCAAAAAAAGUGAAACACAACAAAGUGUUACAAAAAUUCUGUAACAGCCUUGGACGACACGAACCAAAGAAAAAACCACUGAACAAACUACCUUUUCCGUACCACUCGGAUUACGGCUCGGCAAUCUCCUCGAAAUCCAAGUUUUCGACCAAAUCGGAAACUGUCAGGCUUUCGUCGCUUUUGCAAAAGUUGCAAAGCCAGUUUUUAUCCAAUGGUCGCGGAUCCAUUUGUUUUUCUACGCAAGUACGAUGAAAGAGCUUGAUUACACACAUCUUGUUUGCGCACUUGAUCAUUGGUUCAGUGUGGAAGGCAUCCAAAAAUUCGGUUGGCAUCUUCGGCAUACGACAAUAGCAAUAUAUCUUGACCAUCUUGGCUUUUUCCCAGCUUGGACGAAUUGUGCAGCUGUAGGAACGAUCGGCAGCAGACGGGAAUCCGGUACCUUGGCUGAACGAUCCUGCUUCAAGCCGCUCAACGAGAUAAUUUCGGCAUUUCUCAAACGGCUGCUCACUAUCCUGCAACAGUAUCACAUAACGCAGCUAAAGUUGCUGUUAUUUGGUUAACGCCGAGAUGGUUCAUUUGACCAUCUUUGCCUUUCCAAGGUCUUCCCGGAGGGUUCAUUGCCAUGCCCACGAGUUUGAAAGGAAUCGCUUCAAACGGAUCCAGGAUACCUUCGCUGGCCACUGUCUUCACCUCGCUGGUGUUGUUUGUUGUCGCCUCUACAAUAUAUGCAAGGUACGCUAAGUGCAACAGCUGUGACUGUUAAAUUAUAAACGCUUUAAACCGCUUAUUUAACCGUCUUAGUUCGAUGGCACUGUAUUAAAAGUCAUGAGUGUUCAAUAAUUAGUAGAAACGUUUUGUCUGGUGACCUUCUGUAUGGGAGCCAGCUGGUGCCGGGCAAACACAACCGCGCCCUGAUUUUAAUUCAAGAUUAUGAACGUGGAGAAUUGAAGCCCGAAUCUGGCGCAGUUGAAAUAAACCUCUAACAUUUCA